GAGGCGAACGAGGGGAAGUGAAACAUCUCAGUACCCUUAGGAAAAGAAAUCAAUUGAGAUUCCCUCAGUAGCGGCGAGCGAACGGGGAAAAGCCCAUUAAGUCAUAUAAGUUCUAGUGGAAUGCUCUGGGAAGUGCAACCAUAGUGGGUGAUAGUCCUGUACACGAAAGGGCUUAUAUGAUGAUGUCGAGUAGGGCGGGGCACGUGAAACCUUGUCUGAAUAUG
rnacentral:rRNA from 1 species